rnacentral:rRNA from 1 species
AGUGAACGCUGGCGGCGUGCUUAACACAUGCAAGUCGAGCGGGGUUACUGGCUGUAGCAAUACAGUCGUGUGCCCAGCGGCAGACGGGUGAGUAACACGUAGACAAUCUACCUUCCAGAGGGGGAUAGCCCGCCGAAAGGCGGGGUAAUACCGCGUACGAUACUCUUGCGGCAUCGCGAGAGUAUGGAACGUCCGCAAGGACGGCUGGAAGAGGAGUCUGCGGCCUAUCAGCUAGUUGGCGGGGUAACGGCCCACCAAGGCAACGACGGGUAUCCGGCCUGAAAGGGUGACCGGACACACUGACACUGAGACACGGGUCAGACUCCUACGGGAGGC